rnacentral:rRNA from 1 species
GCUUGUCUCAAAGAUUAAGCCAUGCAUGUCUAAGUAUAAACAUCUUUAUACCGUGAAACUGCGUACAGCUCAUUAUAUCAGUUAUUAUUUAUUUGAUGGUACCUUACUACAUGGAUACCCGUAGUAAUUCUAGAGCUAAUACAUGCGUAAAGUCCCGACUCUCGGGGAGGGAUGUAUUUAUUAGAUAAUUGAUAAACCAAUGCAGGCUGGCAACAGUCUGGUUCCUUUGGUGACUCAUAGUAACUGUUCGAAUCGCACGGCUUUAUGCUGGCGAUAGUUCAUUCAAAUUUCUGCCCUAUCAGCUUUCGACGGUAGUGUAGUGGACUACCGUGGCGUUCACGGGUGACGGAGAAUUAGGGUUCGAUUCCGGAGAGGGAGCCUGAGAAACGGCUACCACAUCCAAGGAAGGCAGCAGG